rnacentral:ribozyme from 1 species
AGAAGAGGAAAGGAAAAGGAGGAGGAGGAGAGAGAGAGAAGGGGGAAGAGGGAGUGGGAGACGGGGUCUCCGACCGUUAUUUUUUUGUUUUUCGUUUUGUUUUGUUCUCUCUUCGAUCCACGCUUUCUUUUUUUUUAUUUAUUUUUUUUCAGAAGAAGUGAACACAAAAAAUAAAAAUGAGACAUCUGGAUGAUGCACACAAAAAACAAAAGA